AUUGAACGCUGGCGGCAGGCUUAACACAUGCAAGUCGAGCGAGCGGCGGACGGGUGAGUAAUGUCUGGGAAACUGCCUGACGGAGGGGGAUAACUACUGGAAACGGUAGCUAAUACCGCAUACCAUCAGAUGUGCCCAGAUGGGAUUAGCUAGUAGGUGGGGUAAUGGAUCACCUAGGCGACGAUCCCUAGCUGGUCUGAGCGGAUGACCAGCCACACUGAAACGGAGACACGGUCCAGACUCCAACGGUAGGCAGCAGUGGAGAAUAUGGCACAAUGGGCGCAAGCCGGGUGCAGCCAUGCCGCGUGUGUGAAGAAGGCCAUCAGGUUGUAAAGCACUUUCAGCGGGGAGGCGUUACUCGCAGAAGAAGCACCGGCUAACUCCGUGCCAGCAGCCGCGGUAAUGC
rnacentral:rRNA from 1 species